AGCGAACGCUGGCGGCAGGCUUAACACAUGCAAGUCGAGCGGGCACUUUCGGGUGUCAGCGGCGGACGGGUGAGUAACGCGUGGGAACGUGCCCUCUGGUUCGGAAUAACUCAGGGAAACUUGAGCUAAUACCGGAUACGCCCUUUUGGGGAAAGGCUUGCUGCCGGAGGAUCGGCCCGCGUCUGAUUAGCUAGUUGGUGAGGUAACGGCUCACCAAGGCGACGAUCAGUAGCUGGUCUGAGAGGAUGAUCAGCCACACUGGGACUGAGACACGGCCCAGACUCCUACGGGAGGCAGCAGUGGGGAAUAUUGGACAAUGGGCGCAAGCCUGAUCCAGCCAUGCCGCGUGAGUGAUGAAGGCCUUAGGGUUGUAAAGCUCUUUUAUCCGGGACGAUAAUGACGGAACCGGAGGAAUAAGCCCCGGCUAACUUCGUG
rnacentral:rRNA from 1 species